rnacentral:rRNA from 1 species
GAUGAACGCUGGCGGCGUGCCUAAUACAUGCAAGUCGAGCGAACGGACGAGAAGCUUGCUUCUCUGAUGUUAGCGGCGGACGGGUGAGUAACACGUGGAUAACCUACCUAUAAGACUGGGAUAACUUCGGGAAACCGGAGCUAAUACCGGAUAAUAUUUUGAACCGCAUGGUUCAAAAGUGAAAGACGGUCUUGCUGUCACUUAUAGAUGGAUCCGCGCUGCAUUAGCUAGUUGGUAAGGUAACGGCUUACCAAGGCAACGAUGCAUAGCCGUCCUGAGAGGGUGAUCGGCCACACUGGAACUGAGACACGGUCCAGACUCCUACGGGAGGCAGCAGUAGGGAAUCUUCCGCAAUGGGCGAAAGCCUGACGGAGCAGCGCCGCGUGAGUGAUGAAGGUCUUCGGAUCGUAAAACUCUGUUAUUAGGGAAGAACAUAUGUGUAAGUAACUGUGCACAUCGUGACGGUACCUAAUCAGAAAGCCACGGCUAACUACGUG